UUCCUGAAAACCGGAGGCACGGGUGAGGCCCCCACUUCUAGCCGAACCUCCUUUUGGCUAGGAUCCACCCAUACGACAAAAACUAGCAGAGUCCAGUCCCCCAACUCGAGAGACUCAUUCUGAACAUGGCCUGCCUCAUCAGCCCACCCUACGCCCGUAACUUAGCAUACCCAGAUACGGAACCCUUCAGCGUUUCAACUUGGCCGAGACACCGGAAGGCAACUUCCCAGAACGACCCAUGUCUUCUAAACCCGGACCGGGAUUAAAGCACCGGCUACCGGGACCCUGGAAACACGCGCAGGACCCACGUGGACCCGUAGACGGCUUCACUUCCUCUUUCUCUGACGUAACUUCCGGAGUUGCGUCUGUUACUAUGGCAAGACAGUCAACAUCCGGUUUUACAGUGCCUCCAGGCUCAGAAUCCCUGAGCUGCUCGGAGAAGGUUGGUAGCUAGGGAGUCCCUGGGGCUUCUACUCCAGGGCCACGGUUCUCGGCCACCGGAGUGGGCCUUAUAAAACUAGAAUUCUUUUGCAGGUUAAAAAACAAACGUAUAUUUAUAUAAUUUUUUUGUAAUAUCUAAUUUCGAAAGUAACGCGCGGAAACAAAUUUCUUUGAAAGAGUCAAAACCUGGCCAAACCAGAAUAAGUGAAAUCUUUUGUCCCCAAACGAGAAAAAAAGCAGCCGGUGAUGCUCUAAACCCAGUUAGUUAUUUUCGUUUAGUACUGGGGAUACAUAGUUGCUAAAACCACCUUCCCUCAUGGCAGCACUCAGCCCCCUCUCGUUAUUCUUUUCUAAUCCAAUGUCAGAACCAGCAACCAAUCCUGCAUUGAUUUCCACUCCCCUGCGACCCUCUCCAAAAUCUUUUAGCUGGAACUCAAACCUUAAAAAGAUACUUUCCUCCCUUGUCUUGGGGUGCAGCAUUUCAAGAUUCCUCCGGAAUUCCCUCCCCCACUUCAAAUCAACAAACCUGAUUUUGUGAAACUAUGACUGGAUCCCGGUGAGUUUAUUUUGUUGUUGUUUUUAAGUAGUCUCACACCCAACGUGGGGCUUAAACUCACUACUCAGGACCCUGAGAUUAAGGGUCGCACACUCUACCAACUGAGCCAGGCUGGUGCCUCCCAGGUGAGUUUUUUUUGCUGAUUAGGCUUUAUGCAUUCAUUUUACAAACAUUUUUUAGCUCCCACUGAAAAAGACACUUCAGUAAGUCAAUCUUCCGAAUGAAGCACAAGUUGACAAAAUUUUUGUAUACAGCUUCUUUUGCCUGGUACAGUGUGAAUUUUUCCCCUGGUUUUGGUCUAAAUGUUUGGAUCCCUGCAAACUCCAUCUGUUGAAAUCCUAUCUCCCAAAGGCAAUGGUGUUAGGGGAAAUAACACCCCAAAGGUUGGACUUUGGGAAAUAUUUAAGUCAUGAUAGUGAAGCCCUCUUAAAUGGAAUUUGGUGUCUUAUUUUUUUUUAAUUUAUUUUGAGAGAGAGUGUGUAUACACACAAGUGAGAGAGAGGCAGAGAAAGAGACAGAGAGAAUCCCAAGGAGGCCCCAUGCUUAGCACAGGGCAGGAGACCCAGGCACCCCUAGAAUUGGUGUCUUACAAAAAGAUUCAAGAGUGAUCCCUAGUCCUUCCAUCAUGUAAAGACACAGCAAGAAGGAGCUGGCUAUGAACCAAGAAAUGCACCCUCACCCAACCAUGCUGGCACUCUGACCUUGGACUUCCAGCCUCCAGAACUGUGAGAAAUAAAUUUCUGUUGCUUAUAAGCUAUCAACCCUAUGCUAUUUUGGUAUAGGAGCCUGAACAGACUAAAGACAUCCUUUGUUCUUAAAUAUCCUUUUGCAAAAUGGUUCUCACAGCUGAUUGCAGCUGAUCUGUAGCUUGUGAGAAACAUAGAUCCACCAUAUAAAUUCCAUGAAGACAAAA